GAUUACAUUUAGAAAAUUGUGAAAAUGUGAUUAUACUCAUUUUAAUAACCUGUGAAAGUAUCUAUAAAUGUUUUAUUUUUUAUUUUUAUUUUUUUUGUCGCCAGUUAAAAUGCCCAAAGCGACACCAAACCCGAAACCGUGGUCUUCCUAAUAAAGGUUUCGCACCAGUUUGCCGUUCUCUGUCAUUCCUUCGACGUCAGCCACGGCCUGGACACCGCGGAAGAGGCUGCGCUCCGACAGGUCGUUCUCGGGCAGGAAGUACUGGUAGACGUCAUACAGAAGCCGCCAGCGCGUGUCGGUCCCCGUGGACGUGUCGCAGGAUGGAGGAGUGCUGCCCCUGUUGGACACGGCUCCGACAUGAACGUGAAAAAGAAAGUUGAUGGCGUACCCGUGCUGGAGAAAGGGAGAAUAACGCCCGUGCCUGUGACUGUGCUUCCGUCGGCGGAGAAUAGGAACAAAGUGAAGGACGUUUGUCCCGGCAGGAGAGGUGGUACGUGUUGAAAAAAGUUUAAGAACUACUGAUCUACAAACACAAAAUCAAGCCUCAAGACUUGACUGACCGUUGUGUGCUGCUCCUUCAGCUGGGUCACAAUGGUGGGGUCGUCCCUCUUCCUGGCCAUGAGCAGCCGAAACAUCUGCUCCUUGUAUUUGUUCAUGAUGAGCCCCAGGGCAGACUGGUGUUCCUCCAACGACGUCCGUAGCUCUGUACAAACAGUGACUAUAGGAUUAGUCAACUUAUUACCAUAAUGGCUUGGUUUUUUUUCCCCUCACGAAAACCUUUGUUUUCCAUCUGGAGAGCUCUAAUUUGACGAUUUUCCUGUUGGAUGCCCAGGAUCAGACUGGAUCGAGGCCGAUGACGUGCAACCUGGUUUAGUGUGUCAAUCUCCACUUGAUACUGGUAAAAAUAAAUUCAAUCUAUGACUCAA